GGAAUAUUGCACAAUGGGCGAAAGCCUGAUGCAGCAACGCCGCGUGAGGGAUGACGGCCUUCGGGUUGUAAAGCUCUUUUGUCAGGGAAGAAACGGUGAGAGCUAAUAUCUCUUGCUAAUGACGGUACCUGAAGAAUAAGUACCGGCUAACUACGUGCCAGCAGCCGCGGUAAUACGUAGGGUGCAAGCGUUAAUCGGAAUUACUGGGCGUAAAGCGUGCGCAGGCGGUUUUGUAAGUCUGAUGUGAAAUCCCCGGGCUCAACCUGGGAAUUGCAUUGGAGACUGCAAGGCUAGAAUCUGGCAGAGGGGGGUAGAAUUCCACGUGUAGCAGUGAAAUGCGUAGAUAUGUGGAGGAACACCGAUGGCGAAGGCAGCCCCCUGGGUCAAGAUUGACGCUCAUGCACGAAAGCGUGGGGAGCAAACAGGAUUAGAUACCCCUG
rnacentral:rRNA from 1 species